rnacentral:rRNA from 1 species
UCUUAUAGGAACUAAAUUAUAAGUAAAACCUGCUCAAUGAUCUUUAAAUAGCCGCAGAUUAUCUGUGCUAAGGUAGCAUAAUCAUUUGUCUUAUAAUUUAAGACUAGUAUGAAUGGUUUAACAUUUAAAUACUGUCUCAUAAUUACCACAUAAACUUUUUCUAAAUAUCAAAAAAUAUUUAUAAAAAAAAAAGACGACAAGACCCUAUCAAACUUAACUAAAGUUAAGCUGGGGCAGCUAAUUAAAAACAAUUUAAUUCAAAAUCUAAAAUACAAUCGACCCGUUAAUAACGAAAACACAAUCAAGUUACUGUAGGGAUAACAGCGUUAUAUUCUUUUAAAGCUCUUAUUAAAAAGAAAUCUUGCGACCUCGAUGUUGAAUUAUGUGUCUAAUUUAACGCAAUAGUUGAUAAAGAAAGUCUGUUCGACUUUUAAACCAUUACA